rfam:Myotis lucifugus cont2.9223, whole genome shotgun sequence.
AGAGGCCUUCUGCGGCCAGGGUGGAAGGCUUGCCUCGUUGCCACGGCAACAAAGCAAGCAUCCUGCCAGGCCACUCACGCUGCCCAC